rnacentral:rRNA from 1 species
UCCCAUCAGAACUCCGCAGUUAAGCACGCUUGGGCCAGAACAGUACUGGGAUGGGUGACCUCCUGGGAUGUCCUGGUGCUGCACCAUU